UUCUUUAAAUUACAAAAUAAAUACCAGUAUUUGAACUGGUUCCUUGGCUUAGAUUAGCUCUGAUUCUUCUUUUUCUUUCUCCCCAGACUCUUUAAGUGGAUUAGAGCUUGUCCUACUCCUCUCUGUUACAAAAUGAAAUCCUUAUCCCUCCCUCCUGCUGGCUGCAGACCAUCACUCCUCCUCUUCCUCCUCCUCCUCUUCCUCAGGUGUGUUUGCCUCCAUCAGAGUCAGUCACCUCCACCUCUCUGCCUCUUUAAGAUCAUCAUCAUCAUCGUUUUCUGAUCAAGGAUUUUCUUUAAAACUUUAAACUGACAUGAAGACUUCAUUAUUCUUCAUCACUGUGGGCUGUGAGAUCAUCAUCACCAUCUCAGAGAGCCGUGGAAGGACGUCCCGUGGUGUGUUUGGGUCUCCACCCACAGCUGUUCAGUCUCCCAGGCCUUCAGUAACUUUGAGCUGUACAACAUGGUUCGCCUAGGGGUCCACCCGGACACGACCUCUACUGUCUGGAUGAAACCGGUCAAGUUUGACUACAGUGACUUCAGUCAGUCCCAGUUUAACCAGUGAUUUUAAACCAGUUAGACACAAACACACUGUAAAACUGCGUGUGCGUGCGUGUGUGUGUGUGUGCAGCCUUCAGCCCUCCAUCCAUCUCAGUGUCUCUAAGAGAAGAGCGGCUGGUGGUGCAGGUGCACUUUCCCUGUGCUGCCAACAGGAGGUGCUCUACAAAGCUGUGCUGUCCCAUCUCUCAGCUAAUUGAUCCUUGGACAACAGUCACCAUGAACAGUGACGUCAACAUGACAUCACAGCAGAGUCGAACAGUGUGGACACACGACGUCGUCUCAUACGUAGAGUUUUCGGGUUUGUCUCCGGGUCAGAAUUACUGCGUCGUGGCCAAUUUCUCCUUCCCGACCUUCUCCAUGGCCGCCUCCCCCAAGUCUGACCCCCAGUGCAUCAGGACCACCGACGCCAACCAAUCAGAGCUUCAGUCUCAACUCUUGUUGGGAAUAGGUUCUACGUUCCUGUUCCUGUUCCUGUUCCUGUUUCUCGUUGUUUUUCUGCUCAAACAGAGAUCAAAGACGACCAAGAGCCGCUCGGCUCCCGUCCCAGUCCCACUCCCUCCAUCACUGGUUCCAGUUCCAGUCGACCCUGAGGACGUUCACCUGGAACUCACUGAGGACGACCAUCAGAUUACAGUUCUCCUGUUCUAGAAGAACCUUGGAUGACACGAGGUCAACAAACACAGAGACACACCAUGAGGACUGGGAGAGUCUCAGUGCUCUGGGAUGGG
rnacentral:lncRNA from 1 species